CGCGUAGGUGGUUGCGUAAGUCGGAUGUGAAAUCCCCAGGCUUAACCUGGGAACUGCAUCCGAUACUGCAUGACUCGAGUGCAGCAGAGGGAAACGGAAUUCCUGGUGUAGAGGUGAAAUUCGUAGAUAUCAGGAGGGACACCGGUGGCGAAGGCGGUUUCCUGGGCUGACACUGACACUGAGGCGCGAAAGCGUGGGUAGCAAACAGGAUUAGAUACCCUGGUAGUCCACGCUGUAAACGGUGAGUGCUGGGUGCGGGAGGUCGUAAUGCCUUCUGUGCCGAAGCUAACGCGUUAAGCACUCCGCCUGGGGAGUACGGCCGCAAGGUUGAA
rnacentral:rRNA from 1 species